rnacentral:sRNA from 1 species
AUUUUGAUUGGCCAGACUAUAACAUUCCAUCCGAGAUCUAGGUGAGAAUGAGGUCUUAGUGGUCAUUCGGUUGUACAACCUGUUUUAAAACAAAUACUUGAAAUUCUGGAUAAACCAAGAACUAUAUUUCCCAAACUCAGAACCACUGAGUAUUACUUUAUUAAAAAUCUGAUUAAGAAGUUUACAACUACCUUAAUUGGUUUUACACAAGAUCUAAACUAUUUUAGCUUGUCACCUAAGAUUUCCUUAACACACACAAGAGACGAUUACAAGAACACACUCUUUGAUCUCUCUAGAAUCCUAAUCAGAGUAAAUCUUACCCUCUCACAAUGAAAAGCUUUGCACUUGCUUUUCACCACUAUUACGACCGAGUCUAAGAAGAACCUUAGCACCUCUAUUUAUAUCAUCGAGGUCUUUGGUUUUCUAGGUUAGUCUUCAAGAUCUUGGAUCACUCCAAAUCUUCGCGUGAAUAUCUUCUUUCCAAACCGAACUCAUCUUGUUGUGGUCUCCACGUCAUUCGUUCAUUUGGCGGUAUAUCCACGAUCAUCAUCAAUUACUUGAUCUUCAUUUUAGUCUUCUGAAACAGCUUCCAGCUUGUUCCAGCAAACAACACUCCUUCUGGUUUGUUCUGAUAGAGGGUGCACUAACAAUACUAACACUUUUGAGUUUUGAA